CAGGAUAACUAUUUAUUUCUACCAUCAUAUGAGUGACUGACAAUGGCUACAUAUAGCACCACAAAAUGAAUGGACUCUCUUCAUGCUUCAUGGGUUAUUUUAACACAUUUCUCCCAUACACCAACAUCUAGAAAACAACAAUGCAAUCUAGCAAACAAUAAGUUAGAUUGAGAAUAGGAGACAUCAGGCAAUGAAUACCUAGGCUGGCCUAAAUACCCGAUACUCAUUCUGCUCAAGAAGCGUGAACAUUCCCUUGUGCAGCGGGCUCUAAAACCAGGACUACACCAUGCUUAAAAAAGUUCUCGCUCCAUGCGGUCAAUUUCCCUCUAUAGUGAACCCGGAGCACUUGCAUCCAAUUAGACGUUAAUGAAUGGCCAUCAUAAUUUUGGAGGCUGUUACUUUGGGGUGCUCAACGACACGGGCACACGAGAAGAUGGUAAAUAUUGACCCACUGUGUGAUGGUUCCUACUGCUGCCACUUCUUCUUCUUACCACCGAUGAGACGCGAAAGCAAGUCAUUGUCGCAACUGGCAUGUUGUAUGGCCAAUUGAUCCAUACUCCACUGAGUUCCCUGGUCGAGACACGGAGUGGGCGACAUUGCCGUAGCAGUAUAGCCGGGCAACCAAAUCAAAUAAGCUGGCUUAUCCCUGGACCAUGGUUAUCGACCUGUCUUUUAGUUUCAUCUUCAAAUUAAAUUUGUUGUUGUGAGUAUAUAAUUAAUUGUCCAUGGCCUCUAUCACCGUUGGCCCAUGUGAUGCUUUCUCCUACGAGAAUGCUUCGGCACCAGCUAGUACAAUCAUGCGUGCUAGUGACGGAUCAGUUAAAUUUAUAGCCCAUCACUUCAUCUUCCACGGGGACGAUGCCCUCAAAGGAGAUAUCCAUGCUUUAAUGCAAGGUAUAGCCCUUGACAUCCAACAUACUGCUCUCCCGCGUGUUUGUAACAACAUUCCACAUUUUUUCUGUCACAGAAAAAAUAGUUUAUUUACCAUUUUGUUCGAAUUUACUCCAGUAAAAUUGGAUCAACAUAGGCAUGUUUAGAAUACAUUGAACAUUUAAUUCUUUUAAAGAACAGUUAAGUGUACGUCAAACGUGGAAGCUAAGUAUUGCUUUUAAAUCUCAAUGCAGUUUCCAGAUAUUGUUUAAAACUUCGAACUUCAAAGGGCAUGCGGCUCUCUUUUCUUUCAGUUAUUAUAACUUUGCAGUGACGGUGUUGACUUUUGCCUGCCAAUUGUAGCGAUGAACUCCAAUGCUACUUUAAGUGUAUUAAUUGAUGCCAGGUUCAUCGGGCUUGUUCAUGACCACGCGGCCUCCCCUCCAACCAGAUCAAAUAGUCCACGGAAUACAAUGACAGGUACGCCAGGUGACGUUGUUGUCUGCUGAAAUAUAACUUUCUGUUUAUUCGUGAUAUCUUAAAAUUUGCGAGUGAACUGACAUGUUGGAGUGCAAAUACUGGCAGAUAUUUAAGUGAAAACUGUAAGAGAAAAGCUAUGGAACCUACCAUCACCACUCAUGCACUCCCCUCAUCUGUCGGUGACACCCCAAAUGUUUUGAAAAGAAACUUCCGGUAUUCUGCAUUAUCUAGAAACAUGUCGGCUGACGCUGCUUUCAGCCCAUGAACCACUUGUUGGGGUUUUGGUAAACAGAAAGUGUCAUUACAUAAUUACCGUAGAACUAUUUUUCUACGGUUUCCGGUUCAAAAAAGUGUCAUUACAUCUUUCAAGAUUGACCUACAUAAUUUCAUGAUUAGGACAAGUUUAAGGUUGUGAUUCGAUAUGCAUAAGCCUGUAUUUGCAGUAGUGCUGAAAUAUGUAUCUCUCACCUGAAGUCCUUCUGCUAUUUUGAACCAUGCUGAAUCUACAGGUAACCAAAUAACUUUUUCCAUAGGCUUACCAACUGAGUAUAGCUCCUCAUUUCUGUAUUUCAGGGACCCUAGAAGGUUAUCUCCUCCAUUGGGGACAUUAGAUUCUCCAGAGUAGUUCUGUUGAUGAUUCUUUCAGU
rnacentral:lncRNA from 1 species